UUGAAAAGAACUUUGAAGAGAGAGUUCAAGAGUACGUGAAACCGUUCAGGGGUAAACCUAAGAAACCCAAAAGAUCGAACGGGGAGAUUCAUCGUCAGCGACGCUGGCUUCGCGUCGGUGGGCGAUGUCCCGCGGGGCCUCACGGCUCACGCGCGGGCACGCUGCCGCGCGCCGAUGUCCGGCGUUUUCGUCGUCGUGCACUUCUCCCCUAGUAGAACGUCGCGACCCGCUGGGUGUCGGUCUACGGCCCGGGUGCGGUGUCUGACGCGUCGCCGGUAACACGGCACGCCGUCAAACCCUCGGUCGCCCGGCCGGCUGCCCGGCGGUACACGCAAGGUAUCAGGCCGCAGCUCUCACUUACGCGAGAGUGCGUCGAGGCCGUCGCAAGCGCGCGCCACGGUACACGGAGGCUUACGGACCUAGCGCCGUCACCGGUCCUGGCCCGCUGUUGGUCGUACGGUUAACCUUCGACAGGCCUGCAAACGUUCCCCGGGGCAACUCGGGGGACCGAUACCGGUCGGCGACGCUACUGCUUUGGGUACUCUUAGGACCCGUCUUGAAACACGGACCAAGGAGUCUAACAUGUACGCGAGUCAUUGGGAUUAUCGAUACCUAAAGGCGUAAUGAAAGUGAAGGUCGACCCUGGUUGUCGACCGAGGGAGGAUGGGCCGCGUUGCGAUGCGGCUCCGCACUCCCGGGGCGUCUCGUUCUCAUUGCGAGAAGAGGCGCACCCAGAGCGUACACGUUGGGACCCGAAAGAUGGUGAACUAUGCCUGGUCAGGACGAAGUCAGGGGAAACCCUGAUGGAGGUCCGUAGCGAUUCUGACGUGCAAAUCGAUCGUCGGAACUGGGUAUAGGGGCGAAAGACUAAUCGAACCAUCUAGUAGCUGGUUCCCUCCGAAGUUUCCCUCAGGAUAGCUGGCACUCAGCCGUUCCGCACGGAACGCGCGCGAGUCUCAUCUGGUAAAGCGAAUGAUUAGAGGCCUUGGGGCCGAAACGACCUCAACCUAUUCUCAAACUUUAAAUGGGUGAGAUCUCUGGCUUUCUUGAACUAUGAAGCCACGAGCAUCUCGGAUCAGAGUGCCAAGUGGGCCAUUUUUGGUAAGCAGAACUGGCGCUGUGGGAUGAACCAAACGCAGAGUUAAGGCGCCCAACUCGACGCUCAUGGGACACCAUGAAAGGCGUUGGUUGCUUAAGACAGCAGGACGGUGGCCAUGGAAGUCGGAAUCCGCUAAGGAGUGUGUAACAACUCACCUGCCGAAGCAACUAGCCCUGAAAAUGGAUGGCGCUGAAGCGUCGAGCCUAUACUCUGCCGUCAGCGGCAAGUGGGGCGGCCUUGGGCUGGGUGGGCGUGGGUAACUUCGCCCGUGGCGUAAAGGCCGCCACGAAGCCCUGACGAGUAGGAGGGUCGCGACGGUGUGCGCAGAAGGGUCU
rnacentral:rRNA from 1 species